CGGGAAUUUCCUGAUGUGUGUGACACGCACAAGAGAAGAUGGCGGCAGCAAAAAAAGGUGAACAUAAAGAGCUUAUUUCAACGAAAAGUAUCCUGACGCAACAAAACGGUCCCUAGAUCAUCACACCGACACCACCACAUUUCACUUUUGGUGCCUGUCAGCGUGUGCCUCAACCUUCACCUCGGCUGCGUCAGAUAAACAGCACAGUGACAGACAUGAAGGAAGCAGAUCUCGUGUAACGUUUGUGAGAAAUACUACAGUAAGAACUGUCCCAAUGAUUAUUUGAUGUUUUUGUUGUGGAGUUGCAACGAUGAGUCA